rnacentral:rRNA from 1 species
UAGGGGAGAAAGAAACUAAAAAGAUCCAUAGUAACUGCGAGUGAACCGGGAAGAGCUCAGCGCUGAAUCUCCUGGCUGUAAUGGUCAGGCGAGGUGUAGCGUAUAGUGCGUUUCGUGCCAUUGAGCGGCUAAGCUUAAGUUCUCCUUGAUCGGAGUUCCUUAGAGGGUGCUAGGCCCGUUAAGCUUGGAUCUGCGCUUGAUGGUUGAAGCGUACUGUGAGUCGGGUUGUUUGGAAACACAGCCCUAAGCAGGUGGUAAACUCCACCUAAAGCUAAAUAAGACUACGAAUCCGAUAGCAAACAAGUACCGUGAGGGAAAGUUGAAAAGAACUCUGAAGAGAGAGUUAAAUAGUACGUGAAACUGGUUAGGUGGAAUCGGAUAGAGCAAUCGAAAGAUGGUUACAAUGAGUUGAUCGGGUGUUGGCUUCGGCUCAGCGCUCGGUUGAUGCACUUGUGGCUCGUUGCGCCGGCACGGCUGAUGGUGCCGUUGGAAGUGGGCUUAGAGGAGCUGCUCUUCGGAGGGGCAAACCUGAGUUCAUGGAAAACGCGUUGCUGUUAGUCGGAGUUGCGUUUGCACGGUACCGCGGUGAGUGCGCUAUGAACGUUGUUGUCGGGUUGGUGUCUUCGCGUGCGAGGGCCCUUUUCGAUGGCGCCGCUUAUGGUGUUAUGAUCCGUGGUGCUUGCCGGUGUACAAACUGAUUGUCACCUAUCCGUCCCGUCUUGAAACACGGACCAAGGAGUUUAUCGCAUAUGCGAGUUAUUGGGUGAUUAAAACCUAAUGGCGUAAUGAAAGUAAAGGUUUCGCUUGCGAAGCUGAUAUGUGAUCCGGGUGCCUUUCGAGGCUUCGGCGCAGCAUAGCCCCAUCUCUAUUGCUUGCAAUGGGGUGGAGGAAGAGCAUAUACGAUGAGACCCGAAAGAUGGUGAACUAUGCCUGGGCAGGAUGAAGCCGGAGGAAACUCUGGUGGAAGUCCGUAGCGGUUCUGACGUGCAAAUCGAUCGUCUGACCUGGGUAUAGGGGCGAAAGACUAAUCGAACCACCAAUACUGGGUCCUUC